rnacentral:rRNA from 1 species
GAACGCUAGCUACAGGCUUAACACAUGCAAGUCGAGGGGCAGCAUUUUAGUUUGCUUGCAAACUGAAGAUGGCGACCGGCGCACGGGUGAGUAACACGUAUCCAACCUACCGAUAACUCCGGAAUAGCCUUUCGAAAGAAAGAUUAAUACCGGAUAGCAUACGAAUAUCGCAUGAUAUUUUUAUUAAAGAAUUUCGGUUAUCGAUGGGGAUGCGUUCCAUUAGUUUGUUGGCGGGGUAACGGCCCACCAAGACUACGAUGGAUAGGGGUUCUGAGAGGAAGGUCCCCCACAUUGGAACUGAGACACGGUCCAAACUCCUACGGGAGGCAGCAGUGAGGAAUAUUGGUCAAUGGGCGAGAGCCUGAACCAGCCAAGUAGCGUGAAGGAUGAAGGCUCUAUGGGUCGUAAACUUCUUUUAUAUGGGAAUAAAGUUUUCCACGUGUGGAAUUUUGUAUGUACCAUAUGAAUAAGGAUCGGCUAACUCCGUGCCAGCAGCCGCGGUAAUACGGAGGAUCCGAGCGUUAUCCGGAUUUAUUGGGUUUAAAGGGAGCGUAGGUGGAUUGUUAAGUCAGUUGUGAAAGUUUGCGGCUCAACCGUAAAAUUGCAGUUGAAACUGGCAGUCUUGAGUACAGUAGAGGUGGGCGGAAUUCGUGGUGUAGCGGUGAAAUGCUUAGAUAUCACGAAGAACUCCGAUUGCGAAGGCAGCUCACUAGACUGUCACUGACACUGAUGCUCGAAAGUGUGGGUAUCAAACAGGAUUAGAUACCCUGGUAGUCCACACAGUAAACGAUGAAUACUCGCUGUUUGCGAUAUACAGUAAGCGGCCAAGCGAAAGCAUUAAGUAUUCCACCUGGGGAGUACGCCGGCAACGGUGAAACUCAAAGGAAUUGACGGGGGCCCGCACAAGCGGAGGAACAUGUGGUUUAAUUCGAUGAUACGCGAGGAACCUUACCCGGGCUUAAAUUGCAACAGAAUAUAUUGGAAACAGUAUAGCCGUAAGGCUGUUGUGAAGGUGCUGCAUGGUUGUCGUCAGCUCGUGCCGUGAGGUGUCGGCUUAAGUGCCAUAACGAGCGCAACCCUUAUCUUUAGUUACUAACAGGUUAUGCUGAGGACUCUAGAGAGACUGCCGUCGUAAGAUGUGAGGAAGGUGGGGAUGACGUCAAAUCAGCACGGCCCUUACGUCCGGGGCUACACACGUGUUACAAUGGGGGGUACAGAAGGCGGCUACCUGGUGACAGGAUGCUAAUCCCAAAAACCUCUCUCAGUUCGGAUCGAAGUCUGCAACCCGACUUCGUGAAGCUGGAUUCGCUAGUAAUCGCGCAUCAGCCAUGGCGCGGUGAAUACGUUCCCGGGCCUUGUACACACCGCCCGUCAAGCCAUGAAAGCCGGGGGUACCUGAAGUACGUAACCGCAAGGAGCGUCCUAGGGUAAAACUGGUAA